GACGAACGCUGGCGGCGUGCUUAACACAUGCAAGUCGAACGAUGAAGCCGGAGCUUGCUCUGGUGAAUUAGUGGCGAACGGGUGAGUAACACGUGAGUAACCUGCCCUUGACUCUGGGAUAACUUCUAGAAAUGGUAGCUAAUACCGGAUACGACCCUCGGAGGCAUCUCCAGGGGGUGGAAAGAAUUUCGGUCAAGGAUGGACUCGCGGCCUAUCAGCUAGUUGGUGAGGUAACGGCUCACCAAGGCGACGACGGGUAGCCGGCCUGGGAGGGUGACCGGCCAAACUGGGACUGAGACACGGCCCAGACUCCUACGGGAGGCAGCAGUGGGGAAUAUUGCACAAUGGGCGCAAGCCUGAUGCAGCAACGCCGCGUGAGGGAUGACGGCCUUCGGGUUGUAAACCUCUUUUAGUAGGGAAGAAGCGAAAGUGACGGUACCUGCAGAAAAAGCACCGGCUAACUACGUGCCAGCAGCCGCCGUAA
rnacentral:rRNA from 1 species